UUUACGUCUGAAAAAUUUAUUUCUCUAUCCUUCUCUUUCAACCACCUCCAACACCUCUGCAACUACCACCAUCAGCUCUGUCGCCGCCACCACCACGUCCUCCACGAUUAGCAGCAGAUCUAUCACUGUGUUGGUGUUCAAUUUCAACUAAUUUCAACAUUUUAUUUAUUGUUCUUCAUCUUCCGAGGUUAAAAGAUUGGUUUUCCAUAUUCAGAGAUUGAUAGAUUUAAGUUUUUGGUUUUCGAGUUGAAGAUUGAAUGAGAUCUUUGCUUGCUCGAUUCAUUGAAGACAAGUAUUGAUGCAGUAUGUAUGAUUUUUAAUUUGGUUGCAGAGAUUUUGGAAGUUUAAUUUGUGUUGAUUCAAUUGCAACUUCGAGAUUAUUGAUUCUGAAACCGGGUGGCGUACCUUGUCCCGGAUAAGUCUGACAAGCUAUACGAGCUUGGAUUUAGCAAAUUUAUUUGGUGGUCAAAGUAUUCUCAAAUAUUGCAAUAAUACGUUCAUUAUCCAGUGCCACUUUACCCGAUUCGCUGGAUAAUUUGCGAGAAACAUCGACCGUAAUAAUUUAUGGGUAAGUUUAAUCUCAAGACCGUAGUACAGUGAUAAUUGUACUUUGUUAUUCCCUACUGAAUAUGAAUGCAUGUUUUGUAAUGUAAUUGUGAUUCCAAGUCUACUGUAGUAGUUUUUAACCCACAAUAUAGGUAUCUCACACUACCAUUUGAUAUUUUCUAGUGCAUUUUUGUUCUGGAUUAUUUUUUUCUAGCUGGUGGUUGCUAAUCCAGUGAUCUUAUUUCUACGCAUAACAACAAUUGCCAAAGGGGAGCUGUUGCAUUUUGGCUUUACUUUGUUGCUGGGUACAGUCGUAUCAAAAUUCCACCCCGCCAAUGCUUGCCAAUCACCUCGAGGUAGCCUACGUUAGAGACUCCUUAUAACUUCCCAUGGUGUUAAUAUGGUAGUUUGAAUUGUAUGUACAGAAACUUACAAUUGUUUUCUACUUAUAACUGUUUUGAAUUUACUCCUUAUACAGUAAAAUUUCGAUAUAUUAAUAGCUUUGGGAUCGGAGAAAAUUAUUAUUUUAGCGAAGUUAUUAAUUUAUCGAGUUUAAAUUUAGCCUGUACAAGCCUAGUUGGGACCGGAGAAUUUUAUUAUUUUAUCGAAGUUCUACUGGAAUUGUUUUCUACUUGCUGCAAUCAUGGGGUACUUGCUUUAAACUGUAUCCUCCAGUUCACAGUCUUGUUCCUAAAAUGGUAGCUAAGUUUUGAUCCAUUUUUAAAUUAAGCAAGCCAUGUUCACAUAGAGUUCAGUAUUGGUGUUGGAAGGAUGGUUGUGGGUGGUGCUGUUGGUAUUGGGGUUUGUUGUUGGUGGAGUGAGAAGGUGGCUUGUUGUUGGUACAUGUGAGAAGGUGAUUGCAUGGGUGUGUGCCGUGAUUUGUGUUGCAUGUUGAUGGUUUUAAAUACCCCACAAGAUGAAACUGUGGUGUAAUGGUAGCAUAACUGAUUUCACGUCAGACAGGGCGGAUCUAUAUAGUGAUUUGGGCUGGCUUAAGCCAUCCCAAAGUCCAAAAGAAACUUCCAUUUUGUAGUGCAAUUGUGUUUGGUUAUGAAAAAUCAAGCCUAAAUAAUAGGCUUAAGCCAGCCGAAGUCAAGCCAAUUUGUUUUCGAGCCACCCCAACAUUCAUUUUCUGGUUCCGCCACUGACGUCAGAAGAUGCGUGUUCGAUGCACGUUAGGUUCACUAAUUUUUGGGAUCAACUUUGGUUGUUGAUACUAGAUUUUAGGGUCAACUCUGGUUGUUGAUACCAUAGUUUGGGAUCAACUUUGAAUGUUGAUACCAUAAAUAAUUCGAACAUUUUUGAAUUCUACAUUUUGGGGAUCAACUUCGGUUGUUGACACCAUAUUAUGUAUUUAUUUUAUUUUCUGAA